AAUAGGGUGUUGUAAUUUGUCAUAUCAUAUUUUGGUUGUGAAGGUAGUUAGAGACUUCCUAUUA
rnacentral:tRNA from 1 species